UUGCUUUUGUGGCACAUGUACCAAAAUUGAAAGAGUACAGAGAAGAUUAGCAUGGCCCCUGUGCAAGGAUGACAUGCAAAUUCAUGAAGCGUUCCAUAUUUUU
rnacentral:snRNA from 1 species